GACGAACGCUGGCGGCGUGCUUAACACAUGCAAGUCGAACGGUGAAGCGCCUUCCUUUUUGGUGGGUCGGGAGGAGUGGAGAACGGGGGAGCAACACGAGAGUAACCUGCCCCCUCCUUCUGGAUAACCGCAUGAAAGUGUGGCUAAUACGGGAUAUUUUGGGUCGGUUGCAUGAUGAGUCUGGGAAAGAUUUUGUUUCGGUGGGGGAUGGGCUCGCGGCGUAUUAGCUUGUUGGUGGGGUGAUGGCUUACCAAGGCGGUGACGGGUAGCCGGCCUGAGAGGGUGGUCGGCGGCACUAGAGGGGAGGAGACGUCGCGCCGACUCCGACGGGCAGCAGUAGGGAAGAAUACGGAACGGUGGGAGGCAGGCUGAAGCAGCGCCGCGGCGGGGGUGAUGGAGUCCUGCGCGUUGUGCACUGCUUUCGGGAGUGAAGCAGGGUGGCCUCGUCUGUGCACGUGUUGACGGUAGCUGGACAAGAAGCGCCGGCUAACUACGUG
rnacentral:rRNA from 1 species